ACGUAGGGAGCGAGCGUUAUCCGGAUUUAUUGGGUGUAAAGGGUGCGUAGACGGGAAGAUAAGUUAGUUGUGAAAUCCCUCGGCUUAACUGAGAAACUGCAACUAAAACUGUUUUUCUUGAGUACUGGAGAGGAAAGUGGAAUUCCUAGUGUAGCGGUGAAAUGCGUAGAUAUUAGGAGGAACACCAGUGGCGAAGGCGACUUUCUGGACAGAAACUGACGUUGAGGCACGAAAGUGUGGGGAGCAAACAG
rnacentral:rRNA from 1 species